AAAGCAGUGAUUUCAACAACAGCUCACCUGGUGACAACCCUGAAAAUAUCGAUGGUAUACGUGCAGUAGUGCGUGUGUUGGAAUUAAUCAUCAUUUGCACUGGUCUUCCAUCAACUCUUCUGGCGAUUGUUGCAGUUUGUUGCCUGAUACAAAAAGAUCAUAUUGCUCCGGUCUACAUCAUCAACCUUCACAUUUCUGAUCUGAUUCAACUGUGUUGUUUAACAUCUUUGGCUAUGGGAGGGGACCCUAAAAUCACUGAAUGCAUCUACUUAUUUGGAGAGAUGGCCAGUGUUGGGUUCAUGGUCUGUAUAUCCUUGGAAAGAUAUUUGGUCAUCGUCAAGCCGCUGUGGUACAGAUUAAGAAGGGACAUCAAUACCUUGGUGGUGGUCUGUCUUGUGGUCUGGAUGUUGCCAUUAAUUUAUGCCAUCCCUUUCUAUUGUGAUGUUAAUGUUGAGGUCAGAGAAGCUAUUUAUGCAAUCUAUCACCUCAUCCCUCUUCCCCUUUUCAGCUUCUUUUUGUUUGGAACCAUGGAAGCUCUGUCAGCAGCUCUCAGUGUCCCUGCUGAUGAAAAACGAAGAAUUGUAGCAAUUCUGGUCACUGUCCUGCUCAUUUAUACAUUGUUGUUUGUUCCAAGCAUCGGUUGGUCUCUGGUAGAAAAAGCCAGAGAUAGCUAUAUCUAUAGUGGAGUAGUUUUCCUCUUUCUUAAUUUGAGUCCUCUUGCAGAUUUGACAAUGUACUUCUUCAUUAGAAAAGGAAUCAUCGACAAGCUUUUAAAAUCACUCCCUUGUUGUAAAACAUCUGCUGAUCUGCAAACAAACAGUGCAUACAUUGAUGAUGGGUCCGUUUCAUUGGAAGAACCAGUUUAAGGUUUAAAAUCCACACCUUUACAGAGGUUACUGUGGGGCUUGUUUGUAA